rnacentral:rRNA from 1 species
UACGUAGGGGGCAAGCGUUGUUCGGAAUUACUGGGCGUAAAGGGCUCGUAGGCGGCCAACUAAGUCGGAUGUGAAAUCCCCAGGCUCAACCUGGGAACUGCAUCCGAUACUGGAUGGCUUGAAUUCGGGAGAGGGAUGCAGAAUUCCAGGUGUAGCGGUGAAAUGCGUAGAUAUCUGGAGGAAUACCGGUGGCGAAGGCGGCAUCCUGGACCGACAUUGACGCUGAUGAGCGAAAGCUAGGGGAGCAAACGGG